UAGGGAAUCUUCCACAAUGGACGCAAGUCUGAUGGAGCAACGCCGCGUGAGUGAAGAAGGUUUUCGGACCGUAAAGCUCUGUUGUUGGUGAAGAAGGAUAGAGGUAGUAACUGGCCUUUAUUUGACGGUAAUCAACCAGAAAGUCACGGCUAACUACGUGCCAGCAGCCGCGGUAAUACGUAGGUGGCAAGCGUUGUCCGGAUUUAUUGGGCGUAAAGCGAGCGCAGGCGGAAGAAUAAGUCUGAUGUGAAAGCCCUCGGCUUAACCGAGGAAUUGCAUCGGAAACUGUUUUUCUUGAGUGCAGAAGAGGAGAGUAGAACUCCAUGUGUAGCGGUGGAAUGCGUAGAUAUAUGGAAGAAUACCAGUGGCGAAGGCGGCUCUCUGGUCUGCAACUGACGCUGAGGCUCGAAAGCAUGGGUAGCGAACAGGAUUAGAUACCCUGGUAGUCCAUGCCGUAAAACGAUGAGUGCUA
rnacentral:rRNA from 1 species